rnacentral:rRNA from 11 species
UGAAGUGAAACAUCUCAGUAAGCGGAGGAAAAGAAAGAGAAUCGAUUCCGUAAGUAGCGGCGAGCGAAAGCGGAUCAGCCCAAACCUGGAGGAUUUAUCCUCUGGGGGUUGUAGGGCCAGGUCGUGGAGAAACUAUUGAUAGCAAAAGGCUCUGGAAAGUGCCGCCAUAGAAGGUGACAGCCCUGUAUGCGAAAUCAAUAGCCAUCCUACUGGUACCCUGAGUAGCACCGGACACGUGAAACCCGGUGUGAAUCUGCGCAGACCAUUGCGUAAGGCUAAAUACUCGACGAUGACCGAUAGUGAACUAGUACCGUGAGGGAAAGGUGAAAAGUACCCCGAUAAGGGGAGUGAAACAGAUCCUGAAACCGGACGCCUACAAGCAGUCGGAGCCGCCUUGCGCGGUGACGGCGUACCUUUUGUAUAAUGGGUCAGCGAGUUAGUCUGGCAGGCAAGCUUAAGCCGUGAGGUGUAGGCGGAGCGAAAGCGAGUCUUAAUAGGGCGCAUAGUCUGUCGGAUUAGACCCGAAACCGAGUGAUCUAGCCAUGAGCAGGUUGAAGGUGCGGUAACAC